UAGUGGCGAACGGGUGAGUAACACGUGGGCAAUCUGCCCUGCACUCUGGGACAAGCCCUGGAAACGGGGUCUAAUACCGGAUAACACUGUCCCCCUCCUGGGGGACGGUUGAAAGCUCCGGCGGUGCAGGAUGAGCCCGCGGCCUAUCAGCUUGUUGGUGGGGUAAUGGCCUACCAAGGCGACGACGGGUAGCCGGCCUGAGAGGGCGACCGGCCACACUGGGACUGAGACACGGCCCAGACUCCUACGGGAGGCAGCAGUGGGGAAUAUUGCACAAUGGGCGAAAGCCUGAUGCAGCGACGCCGCGUGAGGGAUGACGGCCUUCGGGUUGUAAACCUCUUUCAGCAGGGAAGAAGCGAAAGUGACGGUACCUGCAGAAGAAGCGCCGGCUAACUACGUGCCAGCAGCCCGCGGUAAUACGUAGGGCGCAAGCGUUGUCCGGAAUUAUUGGGCGUAAAGAGCUC
rnacentral:rRNA from 1 species